AGCGCCUCUCAUUUUACUUUCUAAGUGAUGCUGACCGAGUCUGCGCUGGUGCUGCGUGCUAAACCUAUAGCCAGUGGCGGGAGAUCCACGUCCCUAUCGUGCGCUCCUUCCUGCCCCAUGGGAACUAGCUCGAGCCGGCCACGGAAGACCAGGGCACAGACACUCUGUCGCCGCGAGCUCAGGGUCUCUUGGCCAGGACAGGGCGGCCGCUGCACCACGCUUUAGGGAGACGCAGAGAUCUGCGGAUGCGAAUGCAGAGAGACCACGUUUCUUGGAGCUGAGCAGAUUGUGGAAGGCAUUGUCAAGACAUUUCUUGGAACUACAGCGCAUUGGAGGAGGCAGAGAAUAAGCUGAUAAUGAAGGUGUUUCUACUGUUGCUAUUACAAAAUACCAGAGGGUGUCAUGUAUCCCAAGCUGGUCUCCAACCGGCUAUAGAACUGAGGAUGACCUUGAACUUCUGAUCUCCUUGCCUUUACCUCUUAAGUGCUGGAAUUUUGGGUAUGCAGUGCUGGGGAUUGAACCCAGGGCUUAAUGUGUACUAGGUAAGCAUUCCAUUAAGUGAGCCACAUCCCAGCCUCCUCUC